rnacentral:rRNA from 1 species
UACGUAGGGGGCAAGCGUUGUCCGGAAUUAUUGGGCGUAAAGAGCUCGUAGGCGGUUUGUUGCGUCGGCUGUGAAAUCCCGAGGCUCAACCUCGGGUCUGCAGUCGAUACGAGCAAACUAGAGUGUUGCAGGGGAGACUGGAAUUCCUGGUGUAGCGGUGAAAUGCGCAGAUAUCAGGAGGAACACCGAUGGCGAAGGCAGGUCUCUGGGCAUUAACUGACGCUGAGGAGCGAAAGCAUGGGGAGCGAACAGG